UGUCUAUCCUAGUACUGUAAAUGGAUAGAGAGAAAAAUAAAAAAACUAAAAUAACCAGAGACCAAGCCUCAGGUUCAGCAUAGGCAACGGAACUUUAAAGCACCUCUAAGAACAAGACAAAUAUAAGGUCAUGCUGCAGUCAUGUGGGGUGCAUGUGCCAAGAAACAAGGCUUGAUUUUUCCAUGAAGUCAUAUCAAGAGCAGCCCCACAAUGCACCUGCAAUUUUACAGAUCAUACACACUUUGGUAUUUGGGCUCAACACUUGACAAGCCAGCAGGUCCUGCUCUACUAUCCUCAAGAAAAAAAAAAAGCUUUUCUUUCAGCCCCUGACUCACCAGACGUUUAUCCUGCUCAACCCCAGGCCUUCCAGGCUCCAUUCUGGAUCUGCUCCCAUGACCUACCCAGUUGGGACAGUGUUUUGUUUCUUUCAAUCAAUAUUUGGCAUGCAUACCAUGUCAGGUAUCUGUGGUUGUAAUUCCUGAAAUCUAGAGCUGUACAUCGUUCACUUCCCCAGUGCCUCUUUCCUGCCGGAGCUGUGGAGUGUGACAAUGGUGUUUGUAUCCAAGCUAUCAAACGCCAUUAUCACACUAAAUAGCUACUGUUAGAUAAGCCAUCAGAUUCAGAGAAGGAAGGGGGGAAAGGAAGAGAAUUAUUGGAGCAGUAUAUUUUUUUCCAACAAAGCUGAAGGAAUACAACAGCAGCAUGUCAUGACAACUGUUUGCUUUCUGAUGCCAAAAUCUCGUGCAAUAAAUAAUACACUCCACUUUCUUAAAAGUGCACAUUGGGAUCCCAGUUGCUUGUGUUGAGAUGUGCAUGACUCAUGUUUGUGUUCAUGGACUGCAGAGAUAUUUUAGUUAUCAAGCACAAGUGAUUAUGCACAUUCAUUCCUACAUUAUAACAAACAGCCUACACAACUGUCUUUCUUUUUUACUCUCCAAAGCAACAUUAUAAGCAUUUAUUCCACUUAUUAACAAGUUAAUCAUUAUAGCUAUUUUAGUCUGGAACAGGAGUUCCAUUGUUGUAUUGACUUUUGACGAAUGAGCUUGAGAAUGGAGGCAUAAUUCCAUUUUUGGCUCUCAGCUGUGCACAGCUCAGCUGUGUAUACAUUCAUCACUUAGCCAAAUGCUGAGCAGAAUUACUGCCAACUCGUCAUGUUGUCUGGAGGUUUGGCAGAAAAGGAACCGAGAUCCAUUUCCAUAAUUGCUGUAUAAAUAUUCCAUAGGUGUAUAUCUCAUUGAAAUCCAUGUGAAGUAUGUGAAGCGGGAUGCAUGCAUAUACAUACAUUCUAACUUAUGCCAAAAAGGGAGACAGAGGUUAAUUAUCUUUCCCUGCCAUCCUUACUACAUGAUGACAGUAAAAAUAAGUAAGAAAACCAAGAUGUUUUACACAUUAUGCAGCAACAAAACCAGGUUUGCCACUGAGUGUAACCCCAACAGCGCUUUGUAGCCAAUCUAGGCUCUCUGAUUAAUGUACCUGUAUGAUGAAUGUACACAUUGAUAACAUGUUGUCAGCCACACUUUUCAUUUUUACAUGCUUAAAACAGGGGUGGGGGACAUGUGGUUUCCCAGAUGUCAUUGGACUACAGCUCCCAUCAGCCCCAGCCAGCAUGGCCAAUGAUCAGGGAUGAUAGGAGUUGCAGUGCAACAACAUUUGGAGGAUCACAGCUUUCCCACCCAUGGCUUAAAACAUCUUAAGUGUACACCUAGAAUAUUGUGUAAAUUGGUUCUCAAGAUAGUUAUCUAAAUAUUUGCACUAAUUCAUUCUGACAUUUUGCCAAAGCAAACAUAUUUCAACCCUUUAUAUUAUCUUUUAAAUUAUCUACUAUUCUGUCUUUCUUUUUAAGUUCUGAGCUAGGCAGCACAUUUUAUUUAUUUAUAUUUAUUUAUUUAUUUAUUAUUUUAUUUAUACCCCUUCCUUCCUUCCAGCAGGAGCCCAGGGCGGCAAACAGAAACACUAAAAACACUUUAAAACAUCAUAAAAAGACCUUAAAAUACAUUAAAAACAAAACAACAUUAAAAACAUUUUAAAAAACCUUUAAAACAUCUUUUAAAAAAGGGUUAAAGAUAUUAAAAGACAUAUUAAAAGCAAUUCUAACACAGACGCAGACUGGGAUAGGCCUCAACUUAAAAAGCUUGUUGGAAGAGGAAAGUCUUCAAAAGGUGCCAAAAAGAUAGCAGAGAUGGUGCCUGCCUAAUAUUUAACGGGAGGGAAUUCCACAGGGUAGGUGCCACCACACUUAAGGUCUGUUUCCUAUAUUGUGCAGAACAAACCUCCUGAUAAGAUGGUAUCUGCAGGAGGCCCUCACCUGCAGAGCGCAAUGAUCAACUGGUAUAUAAGGGGUAGUAAGACGGUGUUUCAGGUAUCCUGGUCCCAAGCUGUAUAGGGCUUUGUACACCAGAACUAGAACCUUGAAUUUGGCCUGGUAGCAAAUGGGCAGCCAGUGCAAUUCUUUCAGCAGCGGGUGACAUGUUGGCAAUACCCUGCCCCAGUGAGCAGUCUCGCAGCUGCAUUUUGCACUAGCUGCAGCUUCCACACCAACCUCAAGGGCAGCCCCCCAUUGAGCGUAUUACAGUAAUCCAGCCUAGAGGUUACCAGUGCAUGGACAACAGUGGUCAGACUAUCCCGGUCCAGAAAUGGCCGCAGCUGCCUUACCAGCCAAAGCUGGUAAACAGUACCCCUAGCCACGGAGAUCACCUGGAAACAAAACAAACUGGGAGAUCAAGUUUCAAAGCAGGAGAAAGAACCAAGAGAAAGAUGGAGUGUUUUUUUGGUAAGAAGUGGGAUAGUUUGAAGGCCUCCCACUCUAGAAAUAAAUGAGGUUUCCAGACGUUCUGGACCAGGCUAAGCAGUGCAGUAAGAUGGUCCUAUACUCCUCUGGAAGAUGAUCUUUGUUAUGAAUUUGUGAAGCCCACAGAUCAUAGAAUCAUAGAGUUGGAAGGGGCACAUAAGGUCAUCAAGUCCAACCCCCUGCUCAAUGCAGGAAUCCAACUUAAAGCAUACCCAACAGGUGGCUGUCCAGCUGCCUCUUGAAUGCCUCCAGUGUCAGAGAGGCCACCAGCUCCCUAGGUCAUUGGUUCCAUUGUAUCUCUCUAACUGUUAGGUUUUCCUGAUGUUCAGCUGAAAUCUGGCUUCCUGCAACUUGAGCCCAUUAUUCCUUGUCCUGUGCUCUGGGAUGAUAGAGAAGAGAUCCUGGCCUUCCUCUGUGUGACAACCUUUUAAGCAUUUGAACAGUGCUAUCAUAUCUCCUCUCAGUUUUCUCUUCUCAAGGCUAAACAUGCCCAGUUCUUUCAGUUUCUCCCCAUUGGGCUUUGUUUCUAGUCCCUUGAUUAUCCCCAUUGCCCUCCUCUGAACUCAUUCCAGUUUUUCUGCAUCCUUCUUAAAGUGUGGUGUCCACAACUGGACACAGUACUCAAGAUGAAGCCUAACCAGUGCCAAAUAGAGGGGAACCAAUACUUCAUGCAAUCUGGAAACUAUAAUUCUGUUAAUGCCACCUAGAAUAGCAUUUGCUUUUUUUGCAGCCACAUCACACUAUUGGCUCAUAUUCAGCUUGUGAUCAACAACAAUCUCAAGAUCCUUCUCACAUGUAGUAUUGCUGAGCCAAAUAUGCAGUGCUUUCCCAAUUGUGGGGAGGGAGGCCCUAUUCAGGGAUACCUCCUCCCACUGUAAACCCCUGCACUGUUAUCUGUUCAAAAAUGUUUGAGCGCCUCCAGAGCAGAAUCAAGGGCUUGUGGGGAUGGCUUCAGGGGGAGAAGCAGGCACCAAAAAUUGCUUUCCUCCUUGUUCUGUUAAUGCAUAACUUCCACCAGUGGCUACCUGUUUCUAGGACCCUGCAGUGAGGGUGCUUGGAAGAUACUCAAGGUUUCCUCUGGGUAAUGCAAAGGCUGUUAAUUGUAGUUUAUGAUAGCUUAUGGUCUUUAAUAAUGAGCAGCUAUAGGGAAAUUAGAGGCAGUCAUGGUGUGCAUGGGGUAUCAAGUAGGCUUAAUAAAGCUGGAAUGAGCUUGCCCUAGAAUAAGCCCCAGAAUCCUUUGCAAUGCAGAGACAUUCAUGGGGAACUUAAGAGUUAUGGGCCAUAUUCAACUCACUCCCCUAGCAGAAGCCAACACAAGGAUUCCUGCUAGUGCAACAGGACUUCCUCCUCUCUUCUUCCACAUAUGCCCCUGCACCCUCCCCAAAUCUGCUCUGGAACCCCCAGAACAGCAUGCGGGGAGAAGAGAGGGGAGAUCUGCUUAGCACUCUAUGUUGAAUGCAACCCUACGGCUGUAGCAAAAGUUCUUUAAAGUACGUAUGAAGAUCCUCCAUGGUGCAGAGUGGUAAGCGGCGGUAAUACAGUCGAAGUUCUGCUCACGGCCGGAGUUCGAUUCCAACGGAAGGAGGAAGUCGAAUCUCCGGUAAAAGGGGUCGAGGUUCACUCUGCCUUCCAUCCAUCCGUGCUAUGAAAUUACUCCAGGGUUUGGGAUGUGAAAAUAUAUUGGUGAUGUCCCCAGUUCAAACUGAAUCAGUGCUGAAAACCCGCAGUAUCGCCGCCCCUCCAUUUCCAGAGCUGACCCCAGGACAGAAAAAUCUACAUUUGUUGGAGAUGAGACAAACCACUCUGCUAUUCUUAAUAUGUCAUGAUUGUCUUCACCCUUAGUAUCUCCUCCCUGCCCCCCCAUACCUUUUUUUUGUGUGAAAUACAUUCACCAUUUCCCCACAAAUCAGCAGAAGCAGUACAAGAAUAUGAGGGGAUCUGUACAAAAGACUAUCCAUUAUCAGGAGUGAAGGUGCCAUAGAACCAUUACAAAUUCUGUAUGGUGUUAACAACUGCAAGGAAUUCUCAUCUCUAUUCAACCUGCCUG